GCCGCGUGAGGGAUGAAGGCCUCUGGGCUGUAAACCUCUUUUCUCAAGGAAGAAGAUCUGACGGUACUUGAGGAAUAAGCCACGGCUAAUUCCGUGCCAGCAGCCGCGGUAAUACGGGAGUGGCAAGCGUUAUCCGGAAUUAUUGGGCGUAAAGCGUCCGCAGGCGGCCUUGAAAGUCUGUUGUUAAAGCGUGGAGCUUAACUCCAUUUCAGCAAUGGAAACUACAAGGCUAGAGUGUGGUAGGAGCAGAGGGGAUUCCCGGUGUAGCGGUGAAAUGCGUAGAUAUCGGGAAGAACACCAGUGGCGAAGGCGCUCUGCUGGGCCAUAACUGACGCUCAUGGACGAAAGCCAGGGGAGCG
rnacentral:rRNA from 1 species